rnacentral:rRNA from 1 species
GAGUUUGAUCUUGGCUCAGAACGAACGCUGGCGGCAGGCCUAACACAUGCAAGUCGAGCGCUGUAGCAAUACAGAGCGGCGCACGGGUGAGUAACACGUGGGAACGUGCCCUUUGGUUCGGAAUAACUCAGGGAAACUUGAGCUAAUACCGGAUGAGCCCUAACGGGGAAAGAUUUAUCGCCGAAGGAGCGGCCCGCGUUGGAUUAGCUAGUUGGUGGGGUAAAAGCCUACCAAGGCAACGAUCCAUAGCUGGUUUGAGAGAACGACCAGCCACACUGGGACUGAGACACGGCCCAGACUCCUACGGGAGGCAGCAGUGGGGAAUCUUGGACAAUGGGGGAAACCCUGAUCCAGCCAUGCCGCGUGAGUGAUGAAGGCCCUAGGGUUGUAAAACUCUUUCGGCGGGGACGAUAAUGACGGUACCCGCAGAAGAAGCUCCGGCUAACUUCGUGCCAGCCGCCGCCGU